rnacentral:lncRNA from 1 species
CAUGCUUCAUUAAACCGGACAUGCAUCAUACUUGAUUGUGCAUCAUGCCAUGUUCAUGUCGUGGUUGUUUACUAUGUUGUUUGCUUCUUUCCGGUGUUGCUUCUUCGGGUUGGUUCCGAUAACGUCGUGUGUGUGAGGAUCCGAUCGACUACGUCCGUUUGAUUUCUUCAUGGACUCAUUCUUCUUCCUUGCGGGAUCUCAGGCAAGAUGACCAUACCCUCGAAUUCACUUCUAUCUUUGCUUGCUAGUUUGCUCGCUCUUUUGCUAUGCCUAUGCUGCGAUACAUACCACUUGCUUAUCAUGCCUCCCAUAUGGUUAAGCCAAGCCUCUAACCCACCUUGUCCUAGCAAACCGUUGUUUGGCUAUGUUACCGCUUUGCUCAGCCCCUCUUAUAGCGUUGUUAGUUGCAGGUGAAGAUGGGAGUUUGUCCCUUGUUGGAACAUGGAUAUUUUUGUUGGGAUAUCACAAUAUCUCUUAUUUAAUUAAUGCAUCUAUACACUUGGUAAAGGGUGGAAGGCUCGGCCUUAUGCCUAGUGUUUUGUUCCACUCUUGCCGCCCUAGUUUCCGUCAUAUCAGUGUUAUGUUCCCGGAUUUUGCGUUCCUUACGCGGUUGGGUUAUAAUGGGAACCCCUUGAUAGUUCGCCUUGAAUAAAACUCCUCCAGCAAGGCCCAACAUUGGUUUUACCAUUCGCCACCUAGCCUUUUCUUUCCCUUGGGUUCUGCACACUCAAGGGUCAUCUUUAUUUUAAACCCCCCCCCCCCGGCCAGUGCUUCUCUAAGUGUUGGUCCAACUGAGCGAUGUCCGGAGCUACCAGGGGCAACUCUAGGCUGGCCCACCCGAUGUCUUGCUCAUCCGGUGUGCCCUGAGAACGAGAUAUGUGCAGCUCCUAUCGGAAUUUGUCGGCACAUCUGGAUGGCUUUGCUGGUCUUGUUUUACCAUUGUCGAAAUGUCUUGUAACCGGGAUUCCGAGCCUGAUCGGGUCUUCCCGCUAGAAGGAAUAUCCUUCGUUGACCGUGAGAGCUUGUGAUGGGCUAAGUUGGGACACCCCUGCAGGGAUUUGAACUUUCGAAAGCCGUGCCCGCAGUUAUGGGCAGAGGGAAUUUGUUAAUGUCCGGUUGUAGAAAGCAUGAAGUUGACCUUAAUUAAAAUACAUCAACCGCGUCUGUAACCGUGAUGGUCUCUUCUCGGCGGAGUCCGGGAAGUUAACACGAUGUUGGAGUUAUGCUUGACGUAGGUUGUUCUAGGAUCACUUCUUGAUCAUAGUUCAUCGACCGUGCUUUUGCCUUCUCUUCUCGCUCUCUUUUGCGAAUAUGUUAGCCACCAUAUAUGCUAGUCGCUUGCUGCAGCUCCACCUCAUACCUUUUACCCUUCCUAUAAGCUUAAAUAGUCUUGAUCGCGAGGGUGUGAGAUUGCUGAGUCCCCGUGACUCACAGAUACUUCCAAAACCAGUUUGCAGGUGCCGACGUUACCGAGCAGGUGACGCAACCAAGCUCAAGGAGGAGCUCGAUGAAGAUCUUGUCCUUUGUGUUGUUUCGUUCUAGUUGAUCAGUAGUGGAGCCCAGUUGGGGUCGAUCGGGGAUCUGUGUAGCAUUUGGGGUAGUCUUCUUUUAUUUUGGUUCCAUAGUCGGACCUUGAUUGUAUCUGGUUGAUGUAAUGCUUUAUUCAUGUAAUUGUGUGAGUAGCGAUUGUAAGCCAACUAUGUAUCUCUUUCCCUUAUUGCAUUACAUGGGUUGUGUGAAG